CAUAACCCCGGGAAACUGGGGAUAAUACCGGAUAACGCAUAUGUGCUGGAGUGCUUUAUGCGUAAAACGGAUUCGUCCGCCCAAGGAUGGGUCUGCGGCCUAUCAGGUAGUAGUGGGUGUAAUGUACCUACUAGCCAACAACGGGUACGGGUUGUGAGAGCAAGAGCCCGGAGAUGGAUUCUGAGACAUGAAUCCAGGCCCUACGGGGCGCAGCAGGCGCGAAAACUUUACAAUGCGGGAAACCGUGAUAAGGGAACACCGAGUGCCAGCAUCAUAUGCUGGCUGUCCAGAUGUGUAAAGUACAUCUGUUAGCAAGGGCCGGGCAAGACCGGUGCCAGCCGCCGCGGUAACACCGGCGGCCCGAGUGGUGACCGUUAUUAUUGGGUCUAAAGGGUCCGUAGCCGGUUUGGUCAGUCCUCCGGGAAAUCUGACAGCUUAACUGUUAGGCUUUCGGGGGAUACUGCCAGGCUUGGAACCGGGAGAGGUAAGAGGUACUACAGGGGUAGGAGUGAAAUCUUGUAAUCCCUGUGAGACCACCUGUGGCGAAGGCGUCUUACCAGAACGGGUUCGACGGUGAGGGACGAAAGCUGGGGGCACGAACCGGAUUAGAUACCCGGGUAGUCCCAGCCGUAAACUAUGCUCGCUAGGUGUCAGGCAUGGCGCGACCGUGUCUGGUGCCGCAGGAAAGCCGUGAAGCGAGCCACCUGGGAAGUACGGCCGCAAGGCUGAAACUUAAAGGAAUUGGCGGGGGAGCACAACAACGGGUGGAGCCUGCGGUUUAAUUGGACUCAACGCCGGACAACUCACCGGGGACGACAGCAAAUGUAGGCCAUGCUGAAGACCUUGCCUGAAUCGCUGAGAGGAGUUGCAU
rnacentral:rRNA from 1 species